AUUUUUCUGUCAUGUGCAGCCUGAGGGCUUAUGCCUAUCUGAGCUUUAUUUGACAAUUACCACUUGCCAGCAUAAUUAAAUGAUAAUUUAUAAAUACUAAGAAAGCAUAAUGGGGAAGAGCAAAUAGGUGCUUAUCAGGGCAUUGAAUAAAGUUGAUCUGCUUCAGUGGCAAUUUUCAUCUCUUAUCUUGGUUGUUAACUGGUCUCACUUUUGUGUGUGUUUUGUUUAGGUUUGAUAUUUGUUAAGGUGAUAUUAUCUACCUACAUAUACACAUUCCCCCCCCAUAUAGAAUUCUAAUACUUCUUUUGCUGUUCUUUUUGCAGCUAAUGUAUUUAUGAAAUAUUGCUUGUAUUUUAAUUCACAAAGUAAAUUUAGCACCUAGAAUUUUACAUAUUGCUAGAGAAACCUAGAAUUUCCUUAGCAAUUUUUCUGUUUACCUCCCUCUCACCUUUUUUUUUUUUCAGUGAAUAAGUUCUUUUCUGCAUUGUGUCUGUGAUUUUCUUUUAAUCGGUUUUUUUAAUCACCCAGGCUUUGCAGUUAAUUACAUUCCAGAGUCUCUUCAUCUAUUUCCUAGAAUACUGGCAGAUUUUUUUGUAAGAGAGAAAGCGCACAUGUAAGCCAGGACUGGCGAGAAGGGCUUCCUAACCUUGCAGUGAUAAGAACGAUACUUUAUAUGCAGCAUGGAAAUUUUGCUAUGUUCCCACUGAAUAUAGAAAUUAUCCGAAGAAGAAUUCUGUAGGGUAGACAGCUUUUGUCCUAUCAGUGUCUCUUCUCAAGGUUCCUUACCUAUUAUAAAUAUUAGGGCAGUCUCUGCAGAAGCUGUUGUUAGGCCAUGGACAGAAACACAGAUUUGUCCUGGGUAACCUAGAUAAAGCAGUACAAGAGCAAUCCUCUAUUUGAAUGGAAACAAAUCAAAUCAAUAGAAUGACACACCUUUAGAAUAUAUAUUGAAUUUCCACACCUUUAGAAAAGCAUGUUUGAAGAAGGCAAAUGGGUGGGGAAAGCAAGAUAUUGUUGGUGGGCCACAAAGCUCCUGAGGUCCUUUUUUUUUUCUGUCAUGAAAUUAAAUAAUUUUCUUCACUACUGAUUAGAGUUGUGGUUUUAGUGAAGAGUGUGGGAAUGGCUUAUCAGAGGAAUAACAAAAUAAAAGGCUUUGGUGUUUAAAGUUGUUAAUUCCUUGAAUUAUUCAGCAUUUUGUCCUUAUAAAUAGCAAUUAUUUGCCUUUUUUAGUGCUGAAAAAUAAUCUUUCAUAUUCAGAUAUUUAAAUAUACAGAGCCAUCACUGGGCCAAAAAAAAAAAAAUCCUAAUAUCAGAACAGAUUUUUAUACAAGGAAUAAUUUGAAAGUGGUGGAUUAGUUUCCACCUUUUGAAACACAGUGCUUUCUAUAAUCUUCAAACAUUAUUUAGGAUAAUGGAAGCCAUCAUCCUGGUUCUCAAAUGUUAGCACUUCCAUUAGAAUUUGCAGCUACCUCUUAUUUUUUAUAUUAAAAUACAAGGCUUAAAAGGUAUUAUCUUACUAAAGGGGGGCAAUUGUAGAGAUGAUUUGAUUGAAUAAAGGAAAAAGCUGUACAGGCCUUUUAAGAUCAAGGAUGUAUUGAUGGAAAGCUAUCAUUAGAGACAAUUAAUGUUCUCCAAGGGAAGAAAUUGAUUAUGGACAAAGAUGGACCCUAAGGAGCAGAUAUGUCUUAAUGCUCUAAGGCCUUAAGGAUUAUGCAUUUCAUUCACAGCAUCUGUAUUUUAACCCUUUGUAGUGACUAAAAUACUAGCUUAUUCCUGCAGAAUGUCAUGAAUUAAUUUUUUUUAAAGAUGUUCAUAGUGAUUGACAUUUGGUUCCUUAAAUAAUAGUAAAAUAAUUAAAUUUGCAGCAUCGUUUCUUGGUAUUGCCCUUUAGAGUAGAUCUAGACAUAAAUAUAUAGAAGUAAUAAAAGUAGAUGGUGAUAGCCAUUCUUCAGCAUUAUGGAAGUAUAGUAAUGCCCAAUAAUUACAUUAAAGAUGUACUCUCAUACAGAGGCCCUGAACUUCAGCUGCAUUUAUGUUUUCAAAUAACAUAUCCCUUUAACUUUCCUUGUCCUUUCUAUAGAUCUUGUACAAAGCAUUCAUCACAUUUUUAGCCAGUCCCUAGCAGCCGUGGAUCACAAUUGGGUACUUAAUAAGGUGGCAACCCCACUGGGAACAUUUCACAUAAUUAUUCUUAGCAGAAAGAAGAUUGUUAUGGCUUUUUUUUUUCCUUUUUUUUGAAUUUGGCAAAAUUCCAAGUGAUUUAGUUUGGGCUCCUAAAAACCAGUUGUAUACCAUUGGUGAAUUAUACUUCAUGUUUAGUGUGUAUCCUUAUCUCCCAGUAAAAUACUAUAUUAUAGGCCAGCAGAGUCAGUUUAAUUGUACGGUUGGCUUCCUCAAAUCUGGGACUAGCCCCAGAACAAGUUAGUGAUAAAAACUGGUUUUUUUGGCCAAAAAUUUCAGAGUGUCAAUCUGAACAUGGGAAUGUUUUUAGAAAUCAAUUUCUCCUAAGACUUCACUGAACUCUCUGACAGUACAUUACGAUUAUUGCUAAAUAAUUAGAAGCUCACGCAUAAUAAAUAGCUUGUCCAGAGAGCUCUGUAAUUUUAAGUAUCAGUUAAGGGAAGGGAGGUUAGACCCUGGGCCCUAACUUUGGACUUACAGAGUUUAAAAAUAAUUUAUUUAGCUAAACUGUAUCAUUAAAACAAUUUAAAUUCUCAUAAUUUAAAGGUGUAUCUUGAUGUUCUUAGACCUUAAAGAUAAUGUAUUUCAUUCAUCAUUGAAUGGAUUUUUUCAGAAAUUUUGAACAAUUUGGAAAUAAUUAUUUUAAAGAAUAGUGGGUGAAUAUGCACGAUACGUCCUAUCAUGGUGCAACUGGGUUAUGAGUUUAAGUCUCCCAACUGCUAUGGCCAGCUAGUGUUUCUGAGCACUCAACACUUACAUCAGUUCAAGUAUAUGUAUUUUGGUGACUGUGUGAGUGGCUUUUUCUAGUAAGACAAGCAUCAUCAUAUGUGAGAAGAUAGUUUCCUAUAUGGUUCCUCUUAAAAACAACAAAUAGAGCACAGGACAUUAUAUAUCUAAAGGUCUAAAUUAAAGAGAGGUGAUGAAUAAUUUUUCGUGUAAUUCUGAGAAAAAAAUUACAGAUGUUUUGUCUAUAAUUUUUAUUGGCCACAUUGCUGAUGAGAAGUGGCAUUACAUUAAUGACAUUUUAGAAAAGGAGUGUGAUUUAUGAGAAGGGUGACCAUAAGUAGGAACUCCAAACUAACUAAAUGCCUCUGAAGCUUUGAACCUGAGUGUCAGGGGAGCUAGUGAUGCCACUAAUAAAAGUAAAUGAGGGAGAGGAAUGAGCUAGGGUGAGGCAUACUGCUUUUGAGUGUCUGGCCAAAUCAAGGCAGAGAUGCCCAUUAGGCAAUUGGAAGAAGAGUAGCAUUUAGGAGAGGGGUCAACGUUUAGAAUGCCUGUUCAGAGAUAUAAGAAAGAAUCAAAGUGGUAAGAAAAAGAACAGGAUAAUGCUGUGAAAUAAACCCAGAGAGAGGAAACUUUCAAGGAGAGAGUAGUCAAGUACUAUUAAUGACUACUCUCUCAGGGAGACCAAGGAAAAUGAGAACCUAGAAAAACGCCACUGGGUUUGACCAUUGGCAGUUCAUUAGUAGGCUGGGAAGUCAGAUCUGCUUAAAUUUAAAUCCUAGUUCCCCAAUUAUUGGAGAACUAUGUAUUCUUAAGGGAAGUUACUUUAUCUAGGCCUAACUCAUUUACUCAACUCCUCCAAACAACCCUGAGGAGUCAUAAAGUUAUUAGGACACAGCUGAGAUGCAAAGAAGUGAGUAACUCCCCCAGCCCCACCACCUGAAAAACAGAUAGUAAAGGCCAGAUAGGGAUUAGAACCACAGCUUGUGAAUCCUCUUCCUGUUUCAUAGAUCGGUAGCUGGAGAUGCAGGAAGAUUAAACAGGUUGAUUAAAGAGGCGGAGCCAAGAUCUGAACCCAUACCUAUCUGAUUCUCAAUAUAUCUGUUCACCAUGUCCUCUGCAGUUACUGACUAUGAGAUUUUGAAGGGGGAACAGUUUAUAGGGUUCAAAAAUACUGAACAUAUUGGCUUAAAGCUGCUAGGUUUGGUGAUCUAUGAUCUCCAUAGCCUGACUGAGUUGGAAGAAUACAGAGUAUAUUUUAUGGUCUAGCUGUAUUGGUAACAGUGGGUAACUUGGUAGAACUAGAGUCUCUGCCCUUCCCAGACCUGCUGACUCACAAACUCUGAGAAUGGAACCUGGGAAUCUGUGUUUUAACAAGCCCUCCAGGUGAGAUGCUCAUGUAUCUGAAGUCCAAGAACUACUGUCUUAAUCUACCUUGCUUCCAGUUAUCCAUGCUUCUAUUGGUGACUAUUGCCAAGCCACCAAGUGGAUCUGAUUGUGGCUACAACUUGCUUUCCAGCUUUGACUGCCAUCAGAAGCAACUGAGAAGGUGUAAAGGUUACUGAAACCUAGGUGCUGUUUUCAUAAAUUCCUCUUUAGUUGGCUUGGGUAUGGUGUAGGCUCUGGGAUUUCUAAAACUUCCCCGGGUGAUUUUCCCAGCAAAGGCUGGGAACUUCUGGUCUAGAACCAUGGUUCUCAAACUCUAGUAUGAAUCAGAAUUCCACCUGGAGAGCUAGUUAAAAGGCAGAUUGUUGGGGCCUCUCCCUCAGAGUUUCUAAUUCGAUAGAUCUGAGAUGGAGCCAGAGAAUUUUUAUUUCUAAUGCUUCCAUGUGAUACUAAUGCUGCUGGUCUGGGACCCACACUAUGAAAAUUGCUAGUCUAGAAAUAUGUUCACUUGGGGCGAUUGGAUGAAUUGAGCUGUAAUUUCUGGAUAGAGCGCACUCAUUCCCGCCCCCAGGUGUAGGUAAGAGUCCUUGCCCAAGUAUCUUCAUGAUGUGUCAUGUCUAUACUUCAAAGGCACGGGAGACUUAGUCCAGAAAUAUGUGCACCUGGGCAGGGCUUCUGAAACUUCAGUGCACAGAUCAUGAGGGAUCUUGUUAAUGCAGGUUCUGACUCAGUGGGUCAGGGACAGGCCUAAGAAUCUGCGUCUCUGACAAGCUCCCUGGUGAUGUGGAUGCUGCUCGUCCAAGGACUUGGUGAGUAGCAAGGCACUAAAAAAGUGAUUCUCAUAUUUGUCUGAUCAUCCCAAUCACUGAGAUGCUUUUCUCUAGGUUUUUGGCUUCACCUGAGUCCUAUUGAAUCAGUAUAUCCAGGGGAAGGAGUCUUGAUAUCAUAUAUCUUUGUUAAGCAACUUAUUAAUUUAUUAAAAAAUACUUAUUGAGAAUUUACUCUGUGCUGGGAUCUGUGCUAGAUGCAGACAAGGAAGAUGCCUAGUUCCUGAUCUCCUGGGACUUACAUUUUAUUCAGAGAAAUAAACAAUAAACAAGCACUUUUAUAAAGGUAACUUAUGAUAGUGACCACUGUCUCAGAGCACACAAAGCAGGGCCGUGUGUCCAAGUUCUGUGGUGAAGCUCUUCAAGAAAGGCCUUCUAAGGAGGAGACAUCCUGAUUACACUCAGUUUCAUGAAGGUGGUGGGAAAGGAGAAGAGGCUCUUAGGGGGGUACUGAGCUUGGCUGAUUUCCAGGAAUAUAGAGGAGAUGGGGGCCACAAGUAGAGCAAUUGCGUGCCCCCCAUGAUUUUUACUUCCUUGCAUUUGGAAAACACAUCUAAACUCUUAGCAGCUGCCAGAGAAUAGUGUAAUAAUACUUGUUGAUAAAAACAUCAUCAAUCACUGCCAUCACUGAUCCCUGGAAGAGGAAUGUGGAAGCUGUUAUAAAGUCCCUGAAUGGCCAAUAAAAAGAAAUUAUCUCCAAAAUUCAUAGGAUAAAAUUAUAAUCAUUUCCCACUCAUUAUUUAACUAUGCAGAAGUGAUCAUCUACACAGUAGCAAAAGGAUCAAAGAAUUUAUAUUCCACUUAGAGAAUGUUUCUACAACUAAAUACUUUAGGAGGGUUUAUGUGACUUCCCAGGAUCCCUAACUGUCUCAUUAAAAGGAACAAGAGCAGUGAAA
rnacentral:lncRNA from 1 species